AGGAGGAGGUGUUGUGGCAGCGCUUGGACUCGCCGGAGGCCGCCAGAGAUCGAGGCGCCGCAAAGGAGAUCGAGGUCGUCGGCGACGCAGGUCAAGUGCGGGGAGUGACCUGGUGUGCAAACCCUAGCCGCCAUGGUUUCGUGCCCCCUCGAGCUCGUGCCGAUUCACGUCCUGCGGCCCCUCGUCGAGCUUGUUGUCGUCUUGCGAGCCCAGGUUGAUGCUGAAUUGCUUCAGAAUCAAUUACAUACGUAUGCUUCCACAUGAUUGAUGAUGUGCCCACAGGAGAGGCUCCGAAAGUUGAUGGUGGAA